rnacentral:sRNA from 1 species
CCUGAGUGUGAAGUUUUGUUUACUUGGCUGGAAAAGAACGUCAUUGUGGGAAGUUACCCAGACUGUAUUUCGAAGAAUAAUCGUAGAACCCCUGCCCCUUACAGCUUUACUGUGACGUGUCAGACAUUCACAGCCUUCGUCUGCAGUCCUUCGACCUUUGAGAUUUUUGCCAGACUGCCCUAUAUUUUCUACAAAAAACGAAGAUAUGAACUUCCGGCCCAGUGGAUAGAAGGAAUCAACUUCACAGUUCCUUGUAACUUUUAACUAACAAGCUGCUCAGUUCAUUGAAAUUACAUCACAGCGUCUACCGUUAUAUCUGGAACUAGUU